GAUGAACGCUGGCGGCGUGCCUAAUACAUGCAAGUCGAGCGAACAGAUAAGGAGCUUGCUCCUUUGACGUUAGCGGCGGACGGGUGAGUAACACGUGGAUAACCUACCUAUAAGACUGGGAUAACUUCGGGAAACCGGAGCUAAUACCGGAUAACAUAUUGAACCGCAUGGUUCAAUAGUGAAAGGCGGCUUUGCUGUCACUUAUAGAUGGAUCCGCGCCGUAUUAGCCAGUUGGUAAGGUAACGGCUUACCAAGGCAACGAUACGUAGCCGACCUGAGAGGGUGAUCGGCCACACUGGAACUGAGACACGGUCCAGACUCCUACGGGAGGCAGCAGUAGGGAAUCUUCCGCAAUGGGCGAAAGCCUGACGGAGCAACGCCGCGUGAGUGAUGAAGGUCUUCGGAUCGUAAAACUCUGUUAUCAGGGAAGAACAAAUGUGUAAGUAACUGUGCACAUCUUGACGGUACCUGAUCAGAAAGCCACGGCUAACUACGUG
rnacentral:rRNA from 1 species